AAAGGGAAAGUAGUAACUAAAAGAAGCUGCUAACUAUCUUUUAAAGCGGUUAAACUCCGUUUUUCCCUUUA
rnacentral:tRNA from 1 species